rnacentral:rRNA from 1 species
AGCAGCCGCGGUAAUUCCAGCUCCAAUAGCGUAUAUUAAAGUUGUUGCAGUUAAAAAGCUCGUAGUUGAAUUUCGGGAUCAAGGAAUCGGUCAUGCCUCGGUAUGUACUGGUUUUAUUGGUUCUCACCUUCUAAAGAACCAUGAUGUCAUUCAUUUGAUGUUAUGGGGAAUUAGGACUGUUACCUUGAAAAAAUUAGAGUGUUUAAAGCAAGCUUACGCUUGAAUACAUUAGCAUGGAAUAAUGAAAUAGGACAUCCGAUUCUAUUUUGUUGGUUUCUAGGAUCGAUGUAAUGAUUAAUAGGGAUAGUUGGGGGCAUUAGUAUUCAAUUGUCAGAGGUGAAAUUCUUGGAUUUAUUGAAGACUAACUACUGCGAAAGCAUUUGCCAAGGAUGUUUUCAUUAAUCAAGAACGAAAGUUAGGGGAUCGAAGACGAUCAGAUACCGUCGUAGUCUUAACCAUAAACUAUGCCGACUAGGGAUCGGAUGAUGUUUAUUUUUUAGUGACUCA